GGGGCGGGGGCCGGAACCGGCCUCAGCUGGGGCCCGGCCGUCCCCCUCCCCCGCCCUCCUCCAGGUCUCCGGGGGAACGCGCAGCCAAUCCCCGCCGCCCACUGCGGGCUCGCCCCGGCCCGGGCCGCGGCGCGCCAGCCUUGGGCCGGGGCUUUUCCCCUCUCUCCCUCGCCAUCUCUCCCGCUCUGCUUUCCCCGUUCCCUUCUCCACGACGAGUUUUUAAACUUUGAUGAACUCGCCCAGCGAACUUUCUUAAAGGGGCCGCGCGCCCCGCGCUGUCCCAGCCCGCGGGAGGUGGAGCUGGGUGCCAGGCGCCCCGCGACCCCUCGCCCCCGGCAUCUCCGCCCCGGCGGCUCCACGCUAGGGGCGCCCGAAGCGGGGGUCCUGGGUCGUCGGCUUCGGGAAGUAGGCUCCUCUUGUACUCUGAUCCGGGUUAUAGGGUGUUCGGCAAACUCAUUUCACCCUCAAAUCCAGCCUCCCAGACCCGGUCCACGCUCUCUUCCCUCCCCCGAGCUCAGGGCUGCUGGGAGCCGGGUUCUGGAGAUGAUGGCUGGAGGGGGGGCGCCUAGACACCUGGGCUUUGGCCUUGGCUGGGCGCCGUUUUGCUACGUGACCUUGAGGAAAUCACUUCCCCUCUCUGGCCUCAGGCUUCCAGCCCAGAGGGUGGGACUUACAUCUCAAACUAAUCUUCCCGCUCCCAGUCACUGAAUAGGACCAAGGCUGGGAGACGAGCCUUUGGGACCCAAAUGGUUAUUAGCCCCAAGGAAGGGGUGCCUCGAGUGACCGAGAAGCUUCCAUUCGCCUCCCCCUCUCCCACCCAGCUUUUGGGUCCUCUCCUCCCUCGGCUUAAAUGCCUCCCCAGCACACACACACACACGCAUGCACACACACACAUUUCGCCGCCUCCUAUUCAGAGCCCGAGGGCGCGGGGAGGGGAAAGCAGGCUCGCGGCUCGGGCGGGGUCGUCGUGACUCCCCUCCACGGGUCUUGAGGGCGCGGCCCCGGGGUUGGUUUUCCUCUGAGUUUGAAAACCCGCGCCGCUAGGGGCCGGCCCUGCCGCCACCUCGGAAGAACCCGCGCCCACCUCGAGUCGCGCUUAAAGUGCAGCAGCCACAAGCCCGGCGGAGCCGCGCGGAGACUGGCCACCUCCCCGGCGCCCCCGCCUCCGAACUCGAGCUGCGCCCUGGGGGAUCCCGGCCAGAGGCUUCGUCGGGACUCGGGAAACCACUGCCGAGAGGUCAAAGGUUCCUGGCUUGGACCCUGGGCUCCCAGCUUACACCUCCCGCUCAGCAGACAGAGCCCCUGCCCCACCACCAGCUCCUAUCCAACCACUGGGCCAGUGGCUUUUGCAAUUGGGGAAACUGAAGUUCAGCAGCUGAAAUCAACUCACCUGAGGUCACACAGCAAGGUACUGAGUUCAUUUCAUACUUUCUAUUUAAUUUCAAAGGCAGAUGACUUGGAAAUUUUCUUUCUAAGAAAAAACAAAAUUAAUCAAAGAUCUUUUCGUAUGGAGCCCUCAAAUGACCUUUUAUCCUCCAGAAAGUCUGUGUGUUCAAAAAAAUGGGUUUUAAGUUCUGGCAACAAUUAAAUGGCACUUGCUAAACUUUUACUGGUUUUGAGUCCUUCCCAGGGAACCAAAGGUCACUGAGAGCGCCUCCCUGCCUGAGUCGCCGGUCUCCCAGAGCCUGAGAGAGGGGCCCCCAGGCCGGACAAGCUCUGUAGAACUGCCCGGCGUGCCUGGGAAGCUGGCCCCACUGGGCAGAGUUUCUAAGAAAGACCAAGGGGCUGAAAGUAGGAAUUGUUGCACUUGACCAGUGUCCAGUGGGGCAAGUGACAGUCUUUUGGGGACUGGUGCUCUGCAUGGAGUGGGGUGGGGCAGGGCGGGGAGGGAAGAUGAGCUGGCCCCACCCUCACCACUGAAGGUGGCCGUGAGACUCCUGUCCCCACCAUCUUUCCAGUCCUUUUUGCCUUCCAAAAAACUUGUUGUUCAUAAGGAGCAGGGGGCAGGUGUACUCCUUCUCUCUUAGGCCUUAGGGAUUUAAGAAGGCAGUAGGGAGAGAGGGCAGUGCUUCCCUCGUGGUGGGUGUUAGGUCCCUGCAGAUCAUGGAAUCUGGGUUAGAGGGGCCCAGAGGUCCAAGCCAGUGGGCCUCACACUGGACUCCCUCUGAAAAAGACCGAUUCCUGGGGCCUGUCUAAAAACAACUCCAUCUCAAUCUCUGGGGGCCGUCCUUGGGAAACUGCUUAUAUCCUAGCAACUAGAGCCCCAGGACCUGAAUCCAACCAUCUGCAUCAGACGCCUGAUCUCCAGCAGCCUCUUUGAACUUGGGGAGAAGCAACUCAGACCCCCUACCCCGAACUGCUCAUUGUGCUGCUAUGCCUCCAACUCUGCCUACAGCAACAUUGUUAUCAGAUAACAAUUCCCCAUAAUUAAUUUUUGUCAAUAGCACUUGGCUGUUGACCUCUUAGCUCAGAGGCGAAGCUUCCAAUUCUAGACUGAGACAGGCCUUGCUGCACUUUAUAUUUGUUUUUGUGACCUUGGGCAAAGUGACUAAGGACUCUGAGGCUCAAUUUCCUCAUCUGUGAAAUGGGGAUAGUUUGUGUGGUAUCACACAACAGUGCUUGGCAUAAUGUCCUGUCAGUUAAAAAUUUAAGUUGUUCCUCCAGUUAAACCCAAAUCUGUCUCCCUGUGCCUCCACCCAACUCCGCUCUCUAUCUGGCCGUGGGCUUCCUAGCUCCAUAGAGCAAACCCACACUCCCUAUCUGUCCAGGGUGGUCCUUGGCAGCCGGCAGGCCCUUUUCCCAGCACCUGACCCCUCACACCCUGGUCACCCCUCUUCUGGACUGUUUGGACACUAAGGAUGGUGAGAUUCUAUGAGAGGGGGACUCUGCUCAGCAGGACAGGCAUCCGGGAGUUCUUGACCUGUGGGGAAUCAGAGCGGCUUAUGUGAAAAAGGCUGUAGAGAACGGUGACCCCAGGAGAGAAGAGGGUAGCUCCCGCACUCUGCUAGUGUAAGCCCGCCAACCUAGGCAUCCCGCUGUGUGCCAGGCACAGGGCCUGGCAUAACACAUCCCUCAGCUCAUUGAACUCUCACAGCUGGCUGGUAGAUGACUUUUCCUUACUUUACAUUUGAGGUGCAGAGAGGUUAAGUAACCUGUACAAUCAUGCACAGCUAUAACUGACAAGACUGGGAUUUGAACCCAGGUCUCCAUGCACCCCACUGCUGAAACUAGAAUGGAACAAAGGAGUUGAAUUUGAAUGGAGAUCUAAGUCCAAAAUGCAGUUUUCUUCCAGAAGUCAUCUUGAUAAAUAUUUGCUAAUUUCUUAUCUAACAUAAUCCCUUGCAUUUACAGUACACUAGUAACACUGUAUUUUUUUCCCCAUGAAUGUACACUUUCAUUUUUUUCUUUUUUUGGAAGAGCUAAUAUAUGCUCAUGGUGUUUAUGGUAUAAAUUGCACAAG
ensembl:lncRNA